UACGGAGGAGGCAAGCGUUAUCCGGAAUUAUUGGGCGUAAAGCGUCCGUAGGUGGUUCACCAAGUCUGCUGUCAAAGGGUGGGGCUUAACCUCAUAAAGGCAGUGGAAACUGGUGAGCUAGAGUGCGCUAGGGGUAAGGGGAAUUCCCAGUGUAGCGGUGAAAUGCGUAGAGAUUGGGAAGAACAUCGGUGGCGAAAGCGCCUUACUGGGCCUGCACUGACACUGAGGGACGAAAGCUAGCGGAGCGAAAGGG
rnacentral:rRNA from 1 species